rnacentral:rRNA from 1 species
AUUGAACGCUGGCGGCAUGCCUUACACAUGCAAGUCGAACGGCAGCACGGGUGCUUGCCCCUGGUGGCGAGUGGCGCACGGGUGAGUAAUACAUCGGAACAUGUCCUGUAGUGGGGGAUAGCCCGGCGAAAGCCGGAUUAAUACCGCAUACGAUCUACGGAUGAAAGCGGGGGACCUUCGGGCCUCGCGCUAUGGGGUUGGUCGAUGGCUGAUUAGCUAGUUGGUGGGGUAAAGGCCUACCAAGGCGACGAUCAGUAGCUGGUCUGAGAGGACGACCAGCCACACUGGGACUGAGACACGGCCCAGACUCCUACGGGAGGCAGCAGUGGGGAAUUUUGGACAAUGGGCGAAAGCCUGAUCCAGCAAUGCCGCGUGUGUGAAGAAGGCCUUCGGGUUGUAAAGCACUUUUGUCCGGAAAGAAAUCCUUGGCCCUAAUACGGUCGGGUGAUGACGGUACCGGAAGAAUAAGCACCGGCUAACUACGUG